UAGUGGCGGACGGGUGAGUAACAUUUAGGAAUCUGCCUAGUAGUGGGGGAUAGCUCGGGGAAACUCGAAUUAAUACCGCAUACGACCUACGGGUGAAAGGGGGCGCAAGCUCUUGCUAUUAGAUGAGCCUAAAUCAGAUUAGCUAGUUGGUGGGGUAAAGGCCCACCAAGGCGACGAUCUGUAACUGGUCUGAGAGGAUGAUCAGUCACACCGGAACUGAGACACGGUCCGGACUCCUACGGGAGGCAGCAGUGGGGAAUAUUGGACAAUGGGGGCAACCCUGAUCCAGCCAUGCCGCGUGUGUGAAGAAGGCCUUUUGGUUGUAAAGCACUUUAAGCAGGGAGGAGAGGCUAAUGGUUAAUACCCAUUAGAUUAGACGUUACCUGCAGAAUAAGCACCGGCUAACUCUGUGCCAGCAGCCGCGGUAAUACAGAGGGUGCGAGCGUUAAUCGGAAUUACUGGGCGUAAAGCGAGUGUAGGUGGCUCAUUAAGUCACAUGUGAAAUCCCCGGGCUUAACCUGGGAACUGCAUGUGAUACUGGUGGUGCUAGAAUAUGUGAGAGGGAAGUAGAAUUCCAGGUGUAGCGGUGAAAUGCGUAGAGAUCUGGAGGAAUACCGAUGGCGAAGGCAGCUUCCUGGCAUAAUAUUGACACUGAGAUUCGAAAGCGUGGGUAGCAAACAGGAUUAGAUA
rnacentral:rRNA from 2 species